rnacentral:rRNA from 1 species
UUCGCAAUGCCCGAAAGGGUGACGAAGCGACGCCGCGUGGGUGAGGAAGGCCUUCGGGUUGUAAAGCCCUGUCAGGAGUUAUGAAAUGUAAGUGCGCUAAUAUCGUGCUUAUUUGACAAAGGCUCCAAAGGAAGCCACGGCUAACUCUGUGCCAGCAGCCGCGGUAAUACAGAGGUGGCGAGCGUUGUUCGGAAUUAUUGGGCGUAAAGAGCACGUAGGUGGGUUUGCAAGUCAGAUGUGAAAGCCUUCUGUUCAACGGAAGAAUUGCAUCUGAAACUGCUAAUCUUGAGUAUAGGAGGGGAGAAUGGAACUUCUGGUGGAGCGGUGAAAUGCGUAGAUAUCAGAAGGAACGCCGGCGGCGAAAGCGAUUCUCUGGCCUAUUACUGACACUCAGUGUGCGAAAGCUAGGGGAGCAAACGGGAUUAGAUACCCCGGUAGCCCUAGCCGUAAACGAUGGGCACUAAGUAGAGGGGUUUU